rnacentral:lncRNA from 1 species
AAAAACACUACAGUGAACACUAUUUGGUAUUUUAUUAGUAUCCCCAUUAGCUGUUGCAAAAGCAGCAGAUAUUCUUCCUAGGGUCCACACAAAACAUGAAACAUGACAUAAUACAGAACAUUAAUAGACAAGAACAGCUCAAGGACAGAACUACAUCAAUAAAAAAAGGCACACGUAGCCUACAUAUCAAUGCAUACACACAAACUAUCUAGGUCAAAUAGGGGAGAGGCGUUGUGCCGUGAGGUGUUGCUGUUUUUUGAAACCAGGUUUGCUGUUCAUUUGAGCAAUAUGAGAUGGAAUGGAGUUCUGUGCAAUAAUGGAUAUAUUUAAUACUGUACACUUUCUUGAUUUUGUUCUGGAUUUGGGGACUGUGAAAAGACCCCUGGUGACAUGUCUGCUGGAUCUCAGUGGACACAGAGAGCUUAGUGACCUGGCAAGCAGCCUGUUGAGAACGAGCUGAGCUUCAGUCUCAAGCCUGCAGAGGACACUGGGACUACCUGGUAUGAUGACUCCUUGCUGUCCCCAGUCCACCUGGCCGUGCUGCUGCUCCAGUUUCAACUGUUCUGCCUGCGGCUAUGGAACCCUGACCUGUUCACCGGACGUGCUUGUUGCACCCUCGACAACUACUAUGAUUAUUAUUAUUUGACCAUGCUGGUCAUUUAUGAACAUUUUAACAUCUUGACCAUGUUCUGUUAUAAUAUCCACCCUGCACAGCCAGAAGAGGACUGGCCACCCCUCAUAGCCUGGUUCCUCUCUAGGUUUCUUCCUAGGUUUUUGGCCUUUCUAGGGAGUUUUUCCUAGGGAGUUUUUCCUAGCCACCGUGCUUCUUUCACAUGCAUUGCUUGCUGUUUGGGGUUUUAGGCUGGGUUUCUGUACAGCACUUUGAGAUAUCAGCUGAUGUACGAAGGGCUAUAUAAAUAAAUUUGAUUUGAUUUGAUUUGAUUCAAAAUGUACACUGAAGAUGGAUGUGGAGGACCAAGCUGAUAUGGCUGUGUGAUGCUCAGCGUCAAAGUUUAGCACAAAGAGUAAGACACGUGAAAGUAACAGUAAGCACUGUCUAAAUGUUUUUACAAAUAUUAUUAUUAUUGUUGGGAAGGGCCUGUAAGUAAGCAUUUCACUGUUAGUCUACAGCUGUUUAGGAAGCAUGUGUAAAUUAAAAUGUUAUUUGAAAUGAAGUCUGUUUGGUUUAGAAAGAAAUUCAAAUCAAAUCAAAUGUGUCAUAUACUCUGAAAACCGUGACAUGCUUACUUACAACAAAGAAAAUAGAGUUAGGAAAAUAUUUACUAAAUAAACAAAAGUUUUGAAAAAAGUUACAAUAACAAGGCUAUAUACAGGAAGUACCGGUACAGAGUCAAUGUGCGAGUACAGGUUAGUCGAGGUAAUUUGUACAUGUAGGUAGGGGUAAAGUGACUAUGCAUAGAUGAUAAACAGCGAGCAGCAGCAGUGUAAAAACAAAGGGGGGGUGUCAUUGGCAAAUAGUCCGGGUGGCCAUUUGAUUAAUUGUUCAGCAGUCUUACGGCUUGGGGGUAGAAGCUGUUAAGGAGCCUUUUGGACCUAGACUUGGUGCUCCGGUACUGCUUGCCAUGUGGCAGCAGAGAGAACAGUCUAUGUGUUGCCGCUUUGCUUGUUUGAUGGUUCGUCUGAGGGCAUAGCGGGAUUUCUUAUAAGCAUCCGGAAUAGUGCCCCACUCCUUGAAAGCGGCUGAUCUAGCCUUUAGCUCAGUGUGGAUGUUGACUGGCAGGUUACCAGGAGGAGAGAAUGCCAAGAGUGUGCAAAGCUGUCAUCAAGGCAAAGGGUGGCUACUUUGAAGAGUCUCAAAUAUAAAAUAUAUUUAGAUUUGUUUAACACUUUUUUGCUUACCACAUGAUUCCAUAUGUG